rnacentral:RNase_P_RNA from 1 species
GUGGGUGGAAGCUCAUCAUAGAGGUCACAUGCAGGGUGCUGUCACUCAACCAAUCACCUUGGGGAAGGUCUGAGACAAGAGCCAAUCAUGCCCUGCAGGGUAUCACUGAUCUGGGUGAGUGAGUGCACAGAGAAUAUGAGCCAUUGGGGUUGUCUUUACAGGGAAAACACAGUGCAGCUCUCCAGCACUACUGGUGGAUGUGACCUCACUGGUUUGGAAACCUCAUGGCUGGCAUAUGAGUGCAAUGUGUGAGUUGGAGUAACACCUCCAGAACCCAAUUCAGACUACUCUCUGCCCAC